rnacentral:rRNA from 1 species
AUUGAACGCUGGCGGCAUGCUUUACACAUGCAAGUCGAGCGGCAGCGCGGGGGCAACCCUGGCGGCGAGCGGCGAACGGGUGAGUAAUGCAUCGGAACGUACCCUGGAGUGGGGGAUAACGCCGCGAAAGCGGCGCUAAUACCGCAUAUGCUCUGAGGAGGAAAGUGGGGGACCUGCAAGGGCCUCACGCUCUGGGAGCGGCCGAAUGUCCGAUUAGCUAGUUGGUGGGGUAAAGGCUUACCAAGGCGACGAUCGGUAGCUGGUCUGAGAGGAUGAUCAGCCACACUGGGACUGAGACACGGCCCAGACUCCUACGGGAGGCAGCAGUAAGGAA